rnacentral:rRNA from 1 species
ACAGCAGUAGCCGCGGUAAUACGUAGGUCCCGAGCGUUGUCCGGAUUUAUUGGGCGUAAAGCGAGCGCAGGCGGUUAGAUAAGUCUGAAGUUAAAGGCUGUGGCUUAACCAUAGUACGCUUUGGAAACUGUUUAACUUGAGUGCAGAAGAGGAGAGCGGAAUUCCAUGUGUAGCGGUGAAAUGCGUAGAUAUAUGGAGGAACACCAGUGGCGAAGGCGGCUCUCUGGUCUGUAACUGACGCUGAGGCGCGAAAGCGUGGGGAGCAAACAGGAUUAGAUACCCCAGUAGUCCCUGUCUCUUAUACA